CAGUAGCCACGGUAAUACGGAGGGUGCAAGCGUUGUCCGGAUUUAUUGGGUUUAAAGGGUGCGCAGGCGGGGGGGUCAGUCCGCGGUGAAAGACGAUCGCUCAACGAUUGCAGUGCCGUGGAUACUGCCCUUCUUGAAUCUGGUUGAGGCCGGUGGAAUUGACCGUGUAGCGGUGAAAUGCAUAGAUAUGGUCAAGAACUCCAAUUGCGAAGGCAGCCGGCUGGGCCAGCAUUGACGCUCAGGCACGAGAGUGCGGGGAUCAAACAGGAUUAGAUACCCCAGUAGUCCCUGUCUCUUAUAA
rnacentral:rRNA from 1 species